GAUUCCGAGAGAGACCGCGGGGACCGCGGCGCCGAAGGGGAACGCAAAAACUCUCAGGCAAAAGGAUCG
rnacentral:ncRNA from 1 species